CAGCCGCCGCGGUAAUACGUAGGGUGCAAGCGUUAAUCGGAAUUACUGGGCGUAAAGCGUGCGCAGGCGGUUAUAUAAGACAGAUGUGAAAUCCCCGGGCUCAACCUGGGAACUGCAUUUGUGACUGUAUAGCUAGAGUACGGCAGAGGGGGAUGGAAUUCCGCGUGUAGCAGUGAAAUGCGUAGAUAUGCGGAGGAACACCGAUGGCGAAGGCAAUCCCCUGGGCCUGUACUGACGCUCAUGCACGAAAGCGUGGGGAGCAAACAGGAUUAGAUACCCUAGUAGUCCCUGUCUCUUAUAC
rnacentral:rRNA from 1 species